rnacentral:snoRNA from 1 species
AAUCCGUGAUAAGGACACUUGAGUAAUAACUCCUUAAAUCGCUCCCAUGUCUCGUAGAAAGACUCUCCUUCCUUUUAGUGAAACUCUAGAAUCAUGCUCCUCAGACG